rnacentral:rRNA from 1 species
UGCCAGCAGCCGCGGUAAGACGAACCGUGCGAACGUUGUUCGGAAUCACUGGGCUUAAAGGGCGCGUAGGCGCGUCUCCAAGUCCGGGGUGAAAGCUUUCGGCUUAACCGGAAAAGAGCCUUGGAUACUGGAGAUCUUGAGGGAGGUAGGGGCAGCCGGAACUUCCGGUGGAGCGGUGAAAUGCGUUGAUAUCGGAAGGAACGCCGGUGGCGAAAGCGGGCUGCUGGAUCUCUACUGACGCUGAGGCGCGAAAUCCAGGGGAGCGAACGGGAUUAGAUACCCCGGUAGUCCUGGCCCUAAACGAUGGGUACUGGGUAGGGGACUUGACAUGGGUUCCCUGCCGCAGCGAAAGUGGUAAGUACCCCGCCUGGGGAGUAUGGUCGC